ensembl:lncRNA
CUUUAGUCGGGUUAAUUUUGCCUGCUGUGUUGACCACACCAGUGGUGAAGCCGUAAGAAGGAGAACUGGAAGGAAGCCCCUUGAAAACAAAGAGAAAGGAAACUUGGUGAAACUGGCAAAUACAGGCAGCUCUUGUGAUGACAAAGACUUCCCCAAGGCUUCUUCUCACCAGUUAAUGGAGACUCAGUGGAUGCAAAGCUUACAACUAUGAAAACAAUACCUGUCUGACCUGGUAAACAGAUCAAUAGAACUGUAGGGCCCCCACAAGAUAUAGCUGAUUCCCAACCCCCGAAUCUGUGAAGGUGACUUUAUUUGGAAGAGAGUCUUUGAAGAUAUAAAUGAGGACCUCAAGAUGAGAUGUUCCUGGAUUUAAGGUAGGCCCUAACCCCAAUGAUAGGUGUCCUUAUAAAAGGAGAGGAUACAUAGAAUAAAGAUGGCAAU